rnacentral:rRNA from 12 species
UUAAAUUGAAGAGUUUGAUCAUGGCUCAGAUUGAACGCUGGCGGCAGGCCUAACACAUGCAAGUCGAACGGUAACAGGAAGCAGCUUGCUGCUUUGCUGACGAGUGGCGGA